rnacentral:rRNA from 1 species
UGGGGAAUAUUGCGCAAUGGGGGAAACCCUGACGCAGCAACGCCGCGUGAGUGAAGAAGGCCUUCGGGUUGUAAAGCUCUUUCGGCCGGGAAGAAGGGUAUGAGUAAUAAUACUGUUCAUAUUUGAUGGUACCGGAAUAAGAAGCACCGGCAAACUUCGUGCCAGCAGCCGCGGUAAUACGAAGGGUGCGAGCGUUGUUCGGAAUUAUUGGGCGUAAAGGGUUCGUAGGUGGGAGUGCAAGUUAGUUGUGAAAACCCUGGGCUUAACCCAGGACGUGCAUCUAAAACUGUAUUUCUUGAGAUUUAUAGAGGGUGAUGGAAUUGCUGGUGUAGGAGUGACAUCCGUAGAGAUCAGCAGGAACGCCGGAGGCGAAAGCGGUCACCUGGGUAAUAUCUGACACUGAGGAACGAAAGCGUGGGGAGCAAACAGG